rnacentral:rRNA from 1 species
GCCUUCGGGACUCUGAGACAGGUGCUGCAUGGCUGUCGUCAGCUCGUGUUGUGAARUGUUGGGUUAAGUCCCGCAACGAGCGCAACCCUUAUCCUUUGUUGCCAGCGGUUAGGCCGGGAACUCAAAGGAGACUGCCAGUGAUAAACUGGAGGAAGGUGGGGAUGACGUCAAGUCAUCAUGGCCCUUACGAGUAGGGCUACACACGUGCUACAAUGGCGCAUACAAAGAGAAGCGACCUCGCGAGAGCAAGCGGACCUCAUAAAGUGCGUCGUAGUCCGGAUUGGAGUCUGCAACUCGACUCCAUGAAGUCGGAAUCGCUAGUAAUCGUAGAUCAGAAUGCUACGGUGAAUACGUUCCCGGGUCUUGUACACAC